GUGUCAGCAGCCGCGGUAAUACGUAGGGAGCAAGCGUUGUCCGGAAUCAUUGGGCGUAAAGCGCGCGUAGGCGGCCCCGUAAGUCCGCUGUGAAAGUCAAAGGCUCAACCUUUGAAAGCCGGUGGAUACUGUGGGGCUAGAGUACGGAAGAGGCGAGUGGAAUUCCUGGUGUAGCGGUGGAAUGCGCAGAUAUCAGGAGGAACACCAAUAGCGAAGGCAGCUCGCUGGGACGUUACUGACGCUGAGGCGCGAAAGCGUGGGGAGCGAACAGGAUUAGAAACCCCCGUAGUCC
rnacentral:rRNA from 1 species